UCAGAUCUCACUCUCUCCCUGUCUAGCAAAUUUCACAGUAGCAACAAUGUCUGCUCGCUUCAUUAUCCUUCUUUCUCUCACAACUCUCCUCCUCUUCUCUAUACUCUCUCCUUCCCUCUCCAAAACUGAAAACGGCAAGGUAGAAAACGACGACGACGACGAAGAUCUUAGCUUCCUCGAGGAUGCAAGUGAUAAAAACGACGCCGUCCCUCACGACCACCACUACCCCGACUCGGACCAGUUCGAAGGAGACGACAUUGAUAACGACGACUUCGAAAACUACUCUGAUUUUGACGAUUCCGAAUCCGAUCCAUAUAAGGAGCCUGAAAUUGACGACAAGGACGUCGUCGUUUUGAAGGAAAGGAAUUUCAGCGAUUUUAUUGAAAACCAUAAGUUCGUUAUGGUUGAGUUUUACGCGCCGUGGUGCGGCCACUGUCAGGCGCUGGCUCCUGAGUAUGCGGCGGCAGCUACGGAGCUGAAGGGGGAGGACGUGGCGUUGGCGAAAGUAGAUGCUACUGAGGACAGUGAGUUGGCGCAGGAGUAUGAUGUUCAAGGGUUUCCUACUGUUUACUUCUUCGUUGACGGAGUCCACAAGCCUUAUCCUGGGCAGAGGACCAAGGACGCUAUUGUGACUUGGAUCAAGAAGAAAAUAGGACCUGGUAUAUACAACAUUACUACAUUGGAUGAUGCUGAACGCGUUUUGACAUCUGAUAGUAAAGUUGUUCUGGGCUACAUCAAUUCUUUGGUGGGUCCUGAAACUGAAGAGCUCGCUGCUGCAUCAAGACUAGAAGAUGAUGUCAAUUUCUACCAAACUGUAAAUCCUGAUGUGGCAAAGCUUUUCCAUUUUGACCCGAAAGUGAAACGCCCUGCUUUAGUCCUGAUUAAGAACGAGGCCGAG
rnacentral:misc_RNA from 1 species